rnacentral:rRNA from 1 species
UACGGAGGGUGCAAGCGUUAUCCGGAUUUACUGGGUUUAAAGGGUGCGUAGGUGGUUCUGUAAGUCAGUGGUGAAAUCUCCGAGCUUAACUGGAGAACUGCCAUUGAUACUGACAGGCUUGAGUACAGACGAGGUUGGCGGAAUUGAUUGUGUAGCGGUGAAAUGCAUAGAUACAAUCAAGAACUCCGAUUGCGUAGGCAGCUAACUAGGCUGUAACUGACGCUGAGGCACGAAAGCGUGGGGAGCGAACAGG